ensembl:lncRNA
GCUCCUGUUUUCAUGGCGAGCAGUGCUCUCGGGCUGCCCUUCCCGCACCCCCGCUGGCCCGCUUGUCCCAGCCCCCUCUCUGUGGGUACUGGCUGGGGGUCUCCAGAGAAGCUUUAUCAUUUUCAAAGAGCCCAUCUGGAGGAAAACUGGACUUUUUUCUCUUUUCAGUGCUGCAGAUACAACUGUGCAAGCAUGGUACCCCUGAGAUAUCCACCCAGCACUGCCCUUCUUUAGGGGACAAGGAUUGCUGGGGACGGAACCCAGGCCCUCACACUGCCCCACACCCCCAGCUCUUUUUCAGUCUUUUAUUUUGAGACCAGGUCUUGCUAAGUCUCCCACUUGUCCAUGCUGGGCUGGACUUGCUGCCUGCCUGCCUCUGCCUCCCAAAGUGCUCAGUCACAGGUGUGCACUGUUGUGCCUGGCCCAGCCAUGCACUGUAAAUACAUAAGAACCGCUAUUUUCUCAUCAACUCCAGAUGUCAAGGAAGAAUAAACAGUGAAGAAAACAGCUGGACAAGAUAGCACUAGCCUGUAAUCGCAACACUCUUGAAGGCUUAGGUAGGAUUGAAAGUCUGAGUCCCACCUGGGCAGCUUGGUGACUUAAUAAGACCCUGCCUUAAAAUAAAAAAUAAAAUGGCCUGGGGUAGCUCAAUGUGAAGCCCUGUGUUCAAUCCCAAGUGCCACAAAAACUAAAAUGAAGGGACCGGAGAUUUAGCUCAGUGGUUCCAGUGCCUGCCUCGCAAGCACAAGGUCCAGAGUUCGAUCCCCGGUACCAAAAAAAACUAAAAUGAAGAAAGAAAAAUAUAAGAACAAACCACAUCCACCAAAUGUCUGUCCUAUUCUUCGGCAUCUGCUGUGCCUACGUUCCAGUGUAGACCGCAAGGAAGGCAGGAGUUGCUCCUUCCGGUUUGGCAGCUGUGGUCGGUACAAAUUCUCCAUCCACCAUCAGCAUGCACGAGAGCUAAGCAAUGCCAGCCACAGCGCUGCGAGGGAGACUCAUGAAGGAUGCCCCCAGACCUCUGCGGAGGCGAUCACGAGGGAAAACACUUCAGCAGGC